rnacentral:tRNA from 1 species
CGGUCGUUCACGGCGGCCACCGAGCCGUCCGCGGUCUCCAGCAGCGCGCGGACCGUGCCGAUCGCGGCGGUGGCGUCCGCCCA